rnacentral:rRNA from 1 species
CCUACGGGAGGCAGCAGUGAGGAAUAUUGGUCAAUGGGCGUAAGCCUGAACCAGCCAAGUCGCGUGAGGGAUGACGGUUCUAUGGAUCGUAAACCUCUUUUGUAAGGGAGUAAACUGUGCUACGUGUCCUGUUCUGUAUGUACCUUAUGAAUAAGGAUCGGCUAACUCCGUGCCAGCAGCCGCGGUAAUACGGAGGAUCCAAGCGUUAUCCGGAUUUAUUGGGUUUAAAGGGUGCGUAGGCGGAUUGUUAAGUUAGCGGUGAAAGUUUGUGGCUCAACCAGAGAAUUGCCGUUGAAACUGGGAGGCUUGAGUAUGUUUGAGGUAGGCGGAAUGCGUGGUGUAGCGGUGAAAUGCUUAGAGAUCACGCAGAACCCCGAUUGCGAAGGCAGCCUGCCAAUCCAUGACUGACGCUGAUGCACGAAAGCGUGGGGAUCAAACAGGAUUAGAUACCCGAGUAGUC